UUCUUUUUUAAGAACGUAACAUGGAAAGUGAACAAACAUGAAAAAGGAAACAAAACAGGUUUGAAAAUGUACAACAGUUGGAACACGUUAGUUUAUUCAGCUUCU